rnacentral:rRNA from 1 species
GACGAACGCUGGCGGCGUGCUUAACACAUGCAAGUCGAACGGAAAGGCCCCUUUGGGGGUACUCGAGUGGCGAACGGGCGCGUAACACGUGAGUAACCUGCCCUUGACUUCGGGAUAACUUCAGGAAACUGGGGCUAAUACCGGAUAGGAAUCCUUGCCGCAUGGUGGGGGUUGGAAAGCUUCGGCGGUUUUGGAUGGACUCGCGGCUUAUCAGCUUGUUGGUGGGGUAGUGGCUUACCAAGGCUUUGACGGGUAGCCGGCCUGAGAGGGCGACCGGCCACAUUGGGACUGAGAUACGGCCCAGACUCCUACGGGAGGCAGCAGUGGGGAAUAUUGCCCAAUGGGCGGAAGCCUGAUGCAGCAACGCCGCGUGCGGGAUGACGGCCUUCGGGUUGUAAACCGCUUUCAGCAGGGGCGAAGCUUGUGGUGACGGUACCUGCAGAAGAAGCACCGGCUAACUACGUG